rnacentral:rRNA from 1 species
UGCUUUUUGCUAAUAUAUAAAAAGUAAUCUCCUGCCCAGUGAAUAUAUUUCAACGGCCGCGGUAUCCUAACCGUGCAAAGGUAGCAUAAUCACUUGCUCAUUAAUUGUGGGCUAGAAUGAACGGGGUAACGAAAUAAGCUCUGUGUCAAUAAGAUCAAUAAAAACUAUUCUCCAAGUGAAGAAACUUAGAUAUCGUUAAAAGACAAGAAGACCCUAUAGAGCUUUAUCUUUAAAUUAUACAAUAAUUAAACAGAUUCGGUUGGGGCGACCUAGGAAUUAAUCAUCCUGUAUUAAAAAGAUUUAUAUAUCUUUCAAAUGACCCUUAAAUAGAUCAAAAGAACAAGCUACCUUAGGGAUAACAGGCUAAUCCUAUUUUAGAGCUCUUAUCAACAAUAGGGAUUGGCACCUCGAUGUUGGCUUAGAAUAUCUCUAUGGCGCAGAUGUCAUAUAAAGAAGGUUUGUUCAACCUAUAAUAUUCU